AGAACACUGGAGUGGGUUGCCAUUUCCUUGUCCAAUGCAUGAAAGCGAAAAGUGGAAGUGAAUUCGCUCAGUCGUGUCCGACUCCUAGCGACCCCAUGGACUGCAGCCCACCAGGCCCCUCCGUCAAUGGGAUGGAGUGAAUAAAGGAUGCCUAAACCUGCGAACAUCCCUAAGAGAUAACCUGAGCUGGAAUGGAUUUUAGAAAUCAUUAAUUCCAGUUCCAGUAUCUUCAUUGUCUACAUGUGGAAACAGAGACUUGGGAAGAUUAGGUUAGCAAAUUUAGCACAGAAACCUGAGACAGGACUCCCACACCAGGCCCUCACACCCAGCUGUUAGCAGUCCUUUGCCAGUUCAAUGUGAAUGAGUUUCAUUCCUUUUCCAGAGGGUAGGCUGUACUGGGUGGAUGAAAGAAACUUUAAGAGCUCAGAUGAAAGUAUUUCAAGAGAAAGAGUGGUAAUAAGGGAAAUAUCGGUCAGAUUUGUCUGUAGAACUUUUUCUAGGUCUGUAAGUGUGAAAGGACUGCCCUGCAAUCUUAGAGUAAUUCAGGGUUUUAAGUUUUCAGACAUUACAUAUCAGUUCAUAUUCACUAUAUAUUUUAGACAUUAUGCUUCCUUCAAAUGUAGCUAGUUUAAAGUUGAACUGUAAUAAGUUGUUAAAGUUAAUGGUGACAUACAGGUUCUUUGUAGAAAGUGCAGUCUUAUCAGGUUAUAAAAAAUAAUAAAAUUUUUUAGAAAAGUGACAUUUUGAACUAAAAUAUUUUUAAAGUGCUACAAGUUAUUAUAAGCAUUUAAAAACCUGUACAGGAUUUUAGGAAUUUAAUGAAUAAAAAAUGUGUAAGUAAAAGUCUUUAUGUUCUGAUGCUAAGUGCAGAAUUCAUUUUUGAAUGUAGACUUUAAUAGGUUUUUGUCAUCAGCAAAUAUUAACUGCUUAUUAAUUGUUGCAGAAUGCUAUAUGCUGUAGUAGAUUCAAAGGUGAAUUAUCCAUAGUCUCUUCUAAUGAGUUGGUGAUGGACAGGAAGGCCUGUCAUGCUGCAGUCCAUGGGGUUGCAGAGUUGGACAUGACUGGACAACUGAACUAAACUGAACUUCUAAUGAGGAGCUUCCCAGGUGACACUAGUGGUAAAGAAUCUGCCUGCCAAUCAGUCCUGCCUGCAGGAGCAUGAGAGAUGAAGAUUCAGUCCCUGGGUGGGGAAGAUCCCCUGGAGAAGGUAAUGGCAACCCACUCUGGUAUUCUUGCCUGAAGAAUCCCAUGGACAGAGGAGCCUGGCGGGCUACAGUCCAUGGGCUCCCACAGAGUCGGACACCACUGAGCGACUACAUCUUCUUCUAAUGAGAUAUUUUUGAUGAACAGUUCAGAAGUCAGUUCUUCAAUUCCAGCAGUUCCUGUAGUAUAAACUUCCAUAACCGGAUCUUGGAAUUACUUGCCAUUUAGACUCUCCACCAGCAAAAAGACUACAAUUUGCUGAAGGCUCAAAUGCUGAAGUGCUCUGCAGGUGUUUGGGGAAGUCCAAAACAACCCAGCCUGGAAAGCUUUCACCUUCCACGGGAGAAACAGUCAACAGUGGAUCAAGGCCUUUAGCUUGCAUUUGUCGUAGAAAAACUCCCUCUUUAAUCUUUCCUGCCAGGCUCUGCUGUCCACAGGAUUUUUCAGGCAAGAAUUCUAGAGUGGGUUGCCAUUUCCUCCUUCAGGGGAUCUUCCCGACCAAAGGAUUGAACCCAUGUCUCCUGCGUUUCCUGCACUGCAGGUGGAUUUACAGGUGAGCCAUUGGGUUAAGUCUAAAAACUUACAUCUCAUACUUUAUAGAAAUACUUAUUUUUUACAAGAGGAUGUUAGUUAGCUGUAUAAUUAUUAGAAGCCAAUAGUGUAACAUAGCUGCCAAAAAAGGAUACUAUAAUUUUAAGUAGAAUUUAUUGAAAAAUAUUAUAGGCCUGUUGUUCAGUCACUAAGUUGUCUAACUCUUUGCAACCCCAUGGACUACAGCUUGCCAUGCUUCCCUGUC